UACGUAGGGGGCAAGCGUUGUCCGGAAUCAUUGGGCGUAAAGCGCGUGUAGGCGGCUCGAUAAGUCUGCUGUGAAAGUCCAGGCUCAACCCUGGGAUGCCGGUGGAUACUGUCGAGCUCGAGUCCGGAAGAGGCGAGUGGAAUUCCUGGUGUAGCGGUGAAAUGCGCAGAUAUCAGGAGGAACACCGGUGGCGAAGGCGGGUCUCUGGGCCGAUACUGACGCUGAGGAGCGAAAGCGUGGGGAGCAAACAGG
rnacentral:rRNA from 1 species